rnacentral:lncRNA from 1 species
UCUGUUCACUCAGAGCCAUACUAGUUUUUAUGAAUGAGGAGUUCACUUUUUUUUUCUUUCCUUUGCCAAUAGCAUUACUAUGAGAAUACACAUCUUUUUCACUUUUUUAUUCAACAAGUAUUUGGAACCUACUUUGGGCUAUGAAAAGGAAGGCAAUCAUGGCUUUAAAUUUGAUUAGAUAAUAGAAAAGAAAAAUGCUUUAAAACUGGGAAAUAUUAGUAAGUUAUUAAUAAUUUAGUCAUAUGUAAAUUUAGUUAGUCCUAAAGAUUCUGGAAAACCCUUGAAAAAAGCUAGUCUUACACAAAGUUUUAAAAUUGAAUGAUUUCAACUGAUGGAGAUGAAUCAGAACAACUUUCAGGGCAAAGUGAACCAGUACUAGAUUUUAAAAUGGAGAUCAAUAAAACAUAUGAAGCAAUUCCUGGUAUGUAAAGGGUUGGAUAAGCUUACUGGAAUAAUAUAGAAUGAAAAAGACUAGUGGAUUUGAUCACUUGGAUUGAUUAGAUUGACUAGGUUACUGGAGUUGAAUUUAUUGGGUUUAAUUUAAAAAUGCAGGAAGAGCCUUUUCUCGGAAAUAAUGAGAAUAAGAUGAUUGACAACAUUUAAACACUUUGAUUCAAAUAUAAGCAAACAUUUAUUAAGCCAUUCUAGCAAGUGCUAUUAACUUUAUAAUUCUAAUUGAAAAAAAUUAUCUUAAGUGUCUCUUUUAGGAUGAACUUGAAGAGGAAUAGAUUGAUAUGACAAAGAUCAACAAGAAUGUCAUUGAGUUCAUUGAGUUAUUCCAUAUUUUUUUCUUUUUUUUGGUGCACCCACAGCAUAUGGAAGUUCCGGGGCCAAGGACUGAAUCAGAGCCACAGCUGCAGCAAUGCUGGAUUCUUAACCCACUGCACUGAGCCAGGGAUCAAAGUGGCAAUGCCACUGAGAAAAGCCAGAUCAUUAACCCACUGUACCACAGUGGGAACUAUGAUAGAGAACAUAAAAAAUAACAGUGCAGUGAGUUCCCAAAUAGACCAUAGCCCAAAUGUCUAGAUAGUUGCUCUUCUUCCUUCCGACUCCAUUCCUACUUCUAUCCAUUAAUUUGCAAAGGGUAUUGAAGACUUUUUAGAAAAGAACUCACAAUAGUUUGCUCUCGCAGUUAAAAUAUAAAGAGGAUAGAAGAUCUAAGAAAUCCUAACAAGUAAUACUCUAGGUUUUCUGGGAGACAAUUUAUUUUGUACAAAAAAAAGCCUUAGGCAUGGUGCAUUGGACUGAAAUACAUCUGAAGACAUUUAUAGUUUAUAGUGUAGCCUGGAAGUUGCUACUGAACUCAACUCAAAAUCAGCUAUCCUGUGGUGUAUGUAUUAGAAAAAUUAGCAAGCAGGACUAAAAGAGGUGUUUGGGUAAAUUUUGCAAUAUCUUGGUGCCCAAUACUGCUCCUUAGAAACAAUGAAGGGGACCAAUUUCCUAGACCUUAAUAUACUGUAAAGACAGGCAACCCUGUGGAGGCAAGACAGAGAAAACAGCAACCAAAUGAGGCAUCAAGCAAUAAUCCAGGGUGAUGGGACAAUAAAGUCAACGGCAGUUUCGGGGAGCUUCAAGAAUUUGCUAGACAAUGCUGGGACUCUCCUAAAGUUAUAGCAAGGGAAGGAAAGUUCCACAGAAAUCUGAAGGUCUACAGUUAUAUAUACUAGCAUUAGGGACUAUCAAAACAGCAAGAUUCUGAUGAACAAUGAGCUGUCAACAAGGUGAAUAAGUGAUGAAUAAACUGCAGUUGUAAAAAAAUCCCGAUCCCUUCAUCUCUCAGGGUAGACAGAGCCUGGGCAGCCAGAGCCCCAUCUUCUACCCCAGUCUCAGACAAAUACUUUCAUCUCUGGCUGCUUCAGGUCGAUGCAUUGCUUGCAGCCAAGGAGGUGCUCUGUCACCUGGCCAGAUGGGAGCCAGGCAACAAGCCUAUGGAGUUGCUGGAGGUGUGUCCUAAGAACCAAGAAGAAAAUCUGAGCCAAAGUAUAGGGGAGUUCAGGGCUGUGUGGAGAUUGAGAAUACGAGGCAGGGCCAAAGUCUGGUAAGGGUAGCUCCACACAAAUAGCAGGGUAUCUCUCUUCAUAGAUGUGGGAUAAUGCUCUCUGUGGAUGAUGUGACCUUCACUAGUGAUAUACAAGCAAUGGCAGGGUGAUGCCUCUACCAACGUGUGCAUGUUCUAGAAGUGAGAAUAUCAUCAACACUUUGAAGUGCUUAAUAUGAAAAACUCCAUUGCAUUCACAAUCUGCUCACAUUUCCCCAAGAAAUUUCCAUAUUUCACUUGCUAAUAAAAGAAAAAGCUGUAACUUUGUUUAAAAAUAAUUCCAAAUCUUGUGCAUUCUUGCAUAGUUGUGAAAAAACUUUAUCACUGUCUGUUGGAACUCUCUAGAUGAAAGGGGAGAAUUUAACUGCUUUACUCAACAUGUAUUUAUUGAGCAUCUACUAUACACCAAGCAGUAUUCUAGGUGCUGGGGAUUCAGUCAUGAAGAAAUGGAACAAACAUUUAUGCCAUCUUGGGAUAGGUCAACAAUGAACAAGUAGAGAGGGUAUGUAUGUGUUUGAAAAUGAUAACUGCUAAUGAGAAAAAUAAAUCAGGGAAGGUGAUGGGGUUUCCACUUUAAAACAGGAUUAUCAGGAAACGCCUUACAAAAAGGUGAUAUUUGAGUCCAGAUGUCAGUCUAGAUCUAAUCAGGAAUGGUAGGUCCUCUUUAAAUGUAAAACAUGAUUUUAAAAAGCUAUUUUCAGGUAAAUAAGCUCAAGUUCUUUUUAAAUUUCGAAAAGAAAUUCAAAAAUAUAAUCAGAAAAUGUUAUACCAAUACAGUGUUUAAUCUUUUCUAAAUUUCUGAUUGUUCUUAUAGUAACAUUAUACAAAGAAAUUCAAAGGUCUCACAGACACAGGUCCUCUAAGAUUGAGUUUCCAUGGUGAAGUGGAGGACAGAGGUAACAUAUGGGUAUUUUGAAUUGCUGUCAUUCUUUGAUUAUAAAGAUGCUUAUCUUUAGAGAUGAUUUCUGUUUGUUUUGCAACCUGAAUUUUUCAAGUAUUCUCUCUGGAGACAGAAAGAAGCAAGGUCACAGAUUCACGUUACUGUGAGGCUUACAUGAAAUAGUAACCGAAAUAUUUCUCUCCUGAACUGCCCACUCCUUAAGGUCAGAAACUUUGUUUUAUUUGUCUUUAUAUUCCCACACUGGCUACAUCUGACAUGUGAGAACCAUUAAUCAGCAUUUGUUAUUGAAUUAACUUUGUUUUAAAUAUUUCCCCAUCCUUCUAAAAGUAAUGAAUGUUCAUUGCAGGCUUUUGUAGAAAAGUAGAAAGAGGGAAAAUUGCCUGUUAGUGACAUUCAGUGAAGCCAGGACCAGGAGAUCAGCUGCAAGCGAAAUGCCAGGCAGAAUCCAUAAGGAUCAGAGGAAGCACUGAUCUUAUUUCCCACUCUGGCCUCCAGAAAAGAGAACCCAGCCACAGAGGAGAGGACAGAAUAGUCUGCCUAUGCCAUUGCCUGCCGCUCCGCUUAUGCCUCAAGGCUCCCUUUGGGUGUCUCUCUGUUGCUGCAGCUCUCCGCAGCCAUCCACCCAUCCUAAAGACCAAGCCCAGCUUUGCAGGACUCCCUUCCAAGCAGCAGCUUGAAUUCAAUGAGACCCAAGUGCUUCCUCUGUCCAAGGUACUGGUAGGUCCACAAGCCCUCCAUCUCAGUCCUUUUUCCCUGGGUUUAUCACUAAAUAUAAAAAGCUCCUGUCGUCUAACUACUCACAAUACCCUCACCACACCCAGAUCACCCUGCACUUCCUCUGCCCCAGCUUUCUGCCUCUCUUUUCCCAUCCAUUCCAUUGCUUAGCUGAAGAAUGGAAAGGUGAUUGACACACUGCUCUGUAUCUUCUAUCUUCACUUAGUGUUGUCCAGCUUACCUGAAACCCAAAUCUCCCCUGAGGAUAAGCCUCUUAGCAGGAGCUGGCCAAUCAUAGCACAUCUCAUGUACUACAGAGACCAGAGAAAAGAAGCAUACCCAUUUCGUUCUCCAGUGUCACUUCCAACAAUUGCAUUCCCACCUGUCUAUAACGCCCCCCUCCUCACACACCAUCCAUCUCUCUCUAUUACUGUUGCCUACCAUCCACUGGUCUCUCCUCCAUUUAUGAAAAAUUUGAUUACCAAAUUCAUAGUUUUCCUUUCCAUAUCCUGACUGAAUGCGAUGCCCACUAUGAGGGCAAUUCAGCCAAUAUUCUAGCCUCUUACCUCUAUGUCAUCUUUGACCAUCAAUGCUACUUCACAGGCUUUAUUACUUCCCAUAUUCCCACAGACAUACUUUUGAAAUGUGUCAUCACCAGAAAAUAAACUUACUAAUUCAGAUGUCCUGAUCAUUUAUCCCAAUUGCCUAUUCUUCAAGGAAGUUUGCCCAGUUACUCUCACAACUGAUCUACAAUUUCAUAGGUAGGACCAAUCCAGAAUUUCAACCAUUCUCUUUCUGAAUGGUUUUGCCCCAUGUUUCUUUCAUCCCUCCCAUCUGGCAAAACCUCAACCUAGAAUUAAUCCAUGUGUCUGCCUUCUCCAGUUCUGCACCCAGUAACAUGCCAAUAUCAGAAGAAGAAAUAUUUAGAGGAGAGUGACUAGGCAGGUCUGUAGAGCACAGGUAUAAGCUUCAAAGCUUUCCCUAAUGAAUUUACUAGCUAAACUAAAGGGGAAAAAAAAGACUCCUUUAUUCUCUACGUACUUAUUAAAAAAUGUGGAUAACUGUAACCAGCACUAGCUAAAAUUUCAAGUAGCAGGUAAAAUUUCACUUUGUCCCAUCCAAAACAUAGCCGAUUAGGAAAUUAUCAAAAAUGAUUAGCCUGAUUAAGGCUGAAGGCCAAGAAAUCCUGUGAAGAUAAUUAUAAAACCACUUCACUGG